GUCUAUGGCCAUGCCACCCUGAACAAGCCCGAUCCCGUCUGAUCUCUGAAGCUAAGCAGGGUCCGGCCUGGUUAGUACUUAGAUGGGAGACCACCUAGGAAGACCAGGUGCUGUAGGUG
rnacentral:rRNA from 1 species